rnacentral:rRNA from 1 species
UACGAAGGGGGCUAGCGUUGUUCGGAAUUACUGGGCGUAAAGCGCGUGUAGGCGGGUCUUUAAGUCAGGGGUGAAAUGCCAGGGCUCAACCUUGGAACUGCCUUUGAUACUGGAGACCUUGAGUCCGGGAGAGGUGAGUGGAAUUGCGAGUGUAGAGGUGAAAUUCGUAGAUAUUCGCAAAGAACACCCAGUGGCGGAAGGCG